AGCAGGUAGAAGGUGCUGCACUGGAGGGCUCGAGAUUAGGUUUGGGGUUGGGGCCUUCCAGAAGUGCUACUCUACUGGAGUGUGAUUUGGGCUAAACCAACCACUCUCCAGUCCCUUGGUUUUGUCACCUUGGAAAAGAAGUGAUUUUAGUAUCAAUGAUUCCAUCCUAACAUUCUCCUUUCAUGUUUUUGACAGAGGCAGUUCCCACAUCCCAGUUACCGUAUAUGAUGGCAGUUUCCAGCUUUUAUCUCAGAAACAUACCAACACAUGAAGAGAAAAGCAACAGAAAUGUGAUCCUUUCUAACUGCUCUGAAACUCUGAACAGAAAAAGAGUAACCAGAAAGAUUCUUAUACAUGAUUAUGUUUAUUUUCUUCUGUCCUAUAUACAGGAGAGUCAACUCAUAUAAUGAGCAGCUUUUAGAAGGAGUGAGGUGGAUUUGGAGGUGACACCAGUAUGUCAUAUAUUAGCAUAAAAAGCAAGUUACAAGACAA